rnacentral:lncRNA from 1 species
UGAAGAUGACUCAUUUAAAAAGGCAGACUUCCCUUUGUUGAACUGUCUGCAUGCUUAAUAAACAAGUUGAAAUGUGAUUGUUGCUCAGUAACUGUAUGUGCACAUUUAAGCCAGUGCAAGGAAAAUGGAAUUAGCUUGGGUUUUAGUUUGGGUCUUAAGAGUUUGCCAGGCAGUAGUACUGGUGAUGCAUGAAACAAAACAAAAGUGCACCCCAGGAUCCUUGCAUAAAGAUGGGAUCCAUGGGGUUGGGGCUGUAGCUCAGUGGUAGAGUGCUUGCCUCGCAAGUGUGAACACUGGGUUGCAUCCUCAGCACCACAUAAAAAUAAAUAAAGAUAUUGUGUCCAUCUACAACUAAAAAAUAUUUUUUAAAAAAUGAGGUCCAUGACAUGACCACUGCACAGAAGUAUCUCCAAUGAAUAACCAAGAACAAAGGCAUGAAAAAGUGAUUUUAAAAGUGAUUUUCUGCAUUUGUAAAGACUUCUGAAAUUGGGAAGAACUCAUAUCUUCUAUUUCCCUCAUGUAAAAUCUUGUUUAAUAAAUAUCUGAUUGGUUAAUAUGCAGCACUUCUUUACCAUAGAAUUUAAAAAAUGGUUGUUAGGGUGAUUUAUGUGCAAAUUCAUGUGCAAAUAAUUCAUUCCAUAAACUGAUAUAAAGACUAGUAAGUUGUAUCUAACAGUGGUGGGAUAUUUCACUGUCUCCUAACAUCAAUGGUGUGUGUGUGUGUGUAUGUGUGUGUGUU